rnacentral:lncRNA from 1 species
UCACUUUGUUUUUAAUCUAAUGUCUACAUUGUACAACACAAAGAUGCAUUAAUAGGUGGUUUUUUAUACGACCGCAAAAUUUGAAAAAUUUUUCGUCGUAUAUUGCUAUCACGUUGGCGUCGUCGUCGUCGUCCGAAUCUUUUAGUUUUCCACUCAACUUUAGUAAAAGUAUAGAAAUCUAUGAAUUUUAACACAAGGUUUAUGACCAAAAGGAGGUUGGGAUUGAUUUUGGAGUUUGGUCCCAACAUUUUAGAAUUAGGGGCCAAAAAAGGGCCCAAUAAGCAUUUUCUUGGUUUUCGCACUAUACUUUAGUUUAAGUAAUAGAAUCUAUGAAAUUUUGACAUAAGGUUUUCACCACAAAAGAAAGGUUGGUGAUUUUGGGAGUUUUGGUUCCAACAGUUUUAGGAAUUAGGGGCCAAAAAAGGCCCAAAUAAGCAUUAUUCUUGGUUUUCGCACAUAACUUUAGUUUAGUAAAUAGAAAUCAAUGAAAUUUAAACACAAUGUUUAUGACCACAAAAGGAAGGUUGGUAUUGAUUUUGGGAGUUUAGGUCCCAACAGUUUAGGAAUUAGGGGCCAAAAAGGGACCCAAAUAAGCAUUUUUUUUGGUUUUCGCACCAUAACUUUAGUAUAAGUAAAUAGAAAUGUAUAAAUUAAACACAAGGUUAUGACCAUAAAAGAAGGUUGGUAUUGAUUUUGGGAGUUGGUCCCAACAGUUUAGGAAUAAAGGGCCCAAAGGGGUCCAGAUUUAACUUUGUUUGAUUUUAUCAAAAUUGAAUAAUUGGUUCUUUGAUAUUGCCGAAUCUAACUGUGUAUGUAGAUUCUUAAUUUUGGUCCCGUUUUCAAAUUGGUCUACAUUAAGGUCCAAAGGGUCAAAAAUUAAACUUAGUUUGAUUUUAACAAAAAAUUGAAUCCUUUGGGGUUCUUUGAUAUGCUGAAUCUAAAAUGUACUUAGAUUUUUUAUUAUUGGCCCAGUUUUCAAGUUGGUCCAAAUCGGGGUCAAAAUUAAACUUUGUUUGAUUUCAUCAAAAAAUUGAAUAAUUGGGUUCUUUAUGCCAAAUCUAACUGUGUAUGUAGAUUCUUAAUUUUUGUCCCGUUUUCAAAAUUUGGUUUACAUUAACGUCCAAAGGGUCCAAAAUUAAACUAAGUUUGAUUUUACAAAAAUUAAAAUUCUUGGCUUAUUUGAUAUGCUUUAUCUAAUAUGUACUUUGAUUUUUGAUUAUGGCCCAGUUUUCAAGUUGGUCCAAAUCAGGAUUCCAAUCAAGUAUUGUGCAAUAGCAAGAAAUUUUCAAUUGCACAGUAUUGCACAAUGCAAGAAAAUAUCUAAUUGCACAAAUUGUGCAAUAGCAAUUAAUUUUUCAAUUGGAGUUAUCUUUCUUUGUAUAGAAUAGUAGUUGAUAAUAUAUGUUGGAAAUUUUCCAGACAUGACUAUGAUGUCAUUUUCUAUUUUUAUUUGCCAAUAACUUUAUGUAAAUAACUUCAUUGGAAAUUUGCCAAUAUAAAAUGUUGCUGAUGAAGCUUUUUUUCCUUAUCUUAUCUAAAAUGUUUUUAGAUAAUGUAUGUUGGACAUUUGCCAGACAUGACUAUGAUGUCAUUUUCUAUUUUUAUUUGCCAAUAACUUUAUGUAAAUAACUUCAUUGGAAAUUUGCCAAUAUAAAAUGUUGCUGAUGAAGUUUUUUUUAUUGUUUUAUACAAUAAACAAUGUAUAUUCACUUUACUACCAACCAAUCUUUACCAUUCAGUGAUAACAAGCACUUUAUUUUACAUUUUAAUAUCUUAUGAUGUAUUUAAAAGAGUAGUUAUUGUUGCAAACUCCAUUAGAAAUUUGAAUUGAUAUCAGUUUUGGAAAAAGGGAAACGGGGAUGUGAAAAAAGGGGGGGGGUUUAAAUUUUUCUCAUUUCAGAUUUCAUAAAUAAAAAAGAAAUUUCUUCAAACAUUUUUUUUUGAGAGGAUUAAUAUUCAACAGCAUAGUGAAUUGCUCAAAGGCAAAAAAAAAAACUUUUAAGUUCAUUAGACCACAUUCAUUCUGUGUCAGAAACCUAUGCUGUGUCAACUAUUUAAUUUUAGAUUUAAAAAGUUUGAAGAAAUCUUUAAUUGAUUUGUAAAAUCUUGACAUUUGUUUUGUGUAAAAAAAACCCAUAUAAUAUCAAAAAUUUGAUCACAAUCCAAAUUCAGAGCUGUAUCACGCUUGAAUGUUUUGUCCAUACUUGCCCCAACUGUUCAGGGUUCGACCUCUGCGGUCGUAUAAAGCUGCGCCCUGCGGAGCACCUGGUUUUAUACUGAAUACAUUUUUAAAAGACCAUACUAUGACCUGUCAUUGUUUACAUCUGUGUCUUUUGGUUUUUGGUGGAUUGUUGUUUCAUUGGCAAAAAGUUACUAUAUGAAGACCAGGUUUUUCAAAGCUAUUUAAAAAAGAAAUAAGGCUUUUGAAAUCGUACUGUCAGAUUUAACCAAUGGUAGAGAAAUAUCAGCAUGUUAAAUGGUAAUGGUUUUACCAAGGAAAGGGACACUUAGGCACAAGAAACUGUACUGGUUUACCCAAGGGAAUUACCACCAGUUGCUGGUAAAAUAUUCUGAGGUCUUGGAAAUAAACAUAUAAAUGUGUUGUAGCAUUUUUGUUUUAAAAUAUUUAUGUUAAGAGCUUACUGCAACAACAAUCUUAAACAGGGGCGGAUCCAGCCAUUUUUAAAAAGAAUUUCCAACCCAAGGCAGGGGGGGAUGGGGUGUUCCAACCAAAUGUCCCAAUUCAAAUGCAUUAUUCAUCCCCAAAAAGGGGCCCUUGAACCCCAACCCCCUGAACCCCAACGCCCUGGAUCUACCACUGUAAAAGAUGUAAUUGAUUAAAUAAAUGAUGUUAUCAGGUAGUGUUUUGAAUUUUAAAAAAGGACCUUUUGGGUCUUAGACAUGACAAUAAGUCUACAAGGGUAACUGAAUUCAAUGGAGAUGAUAUUCAUUUUUAGACAUGACAAUAAGUCUACAAUGGUAACUGAAAUAAAUGGAGAUGAUAUUCAUUUUUAGACAUGACAAUAAGUCUACAAGGGUAACUGAAAUCAAUGGAGAUGAUAUUCAUUUUUAGACAUGACCAUAAGUCUACAAGGGUAACUGAAAUCAAUGGAGAUGAUAUUCAUUUUUAGAAUUUUCUUCUCUGUCUUCAUUUUAACACCUGAUGAUUAGCUUGGAUUUAAAAGAUGUCAGUCAGCAAGAUUUUUUUUUAAAUGAAAAAAUAAAAAAUAGAAAAUGAUAUUUCUGAUCUUUAAUGAUCAGAUCUUUCUACUUUUGGUUUAUGUCACAAUGGCAGUCGUGCCACAUCUUAUUUUUGUACAAAAUUGCAAAAGUAGACACAAUUUUAAAAGACAUCAAAGCAAAGAAAUAUAACAUAUUUGAUUGGAUUUACAAUUUUUAUGGCCCCGCCACUAAGUGGUCGGGGACAUAUAUAAGUUUUGUUCCGCUCCGCUAAUUUUUGCCAAAUUUACGGGCUUUGGACUUUGAUAAAUUGUUGAAAAUCACAGUUAUACAGACUUUUUUUCAGAUAUUGGGCUAAUAUUUGGUUUGUGAGUUACUCCGGAUGAGUUACAGAUCAAGUUUAAGUUUGGUUCUGAUGGCUAAUUUUUGCUAUAAUUUUGGACUAUGGACUUGAUAAAUUUUUGAAAAUCACAGUUAUAUGAACCUUUUUUCUAAAUUCUUUCAGAUAUUGGGCUGAUUUUUGGUAUGUGAGCUAACCAUGAUGACUUACAGAUCAAGUUCAGUUUUGUUCAGCUCCGCUAAUUUUUGCCAAAAUUAAGGGUUUACAACUUUGAAAAUUGUUGAAAAUGACAGAUAUAAGGACAUUUUUCUAUACGCCCCCAGAUUUUGAGCUAAUUUUUUAUAUGUGAGACUACCAAUAUGCAUACCCGUAGCCAGGGGGGUCGGGGGUUCGGACGAACCCCCCCUUGAAAUCAAAUAAGCACUGUUAAAGUCAACGUUUUGUUCAAAUUGUGACUGUUUAAGUCGAGUUCAUGAGUCCAACGAACCCCCCUUGGAAAUUCCUGGCUACGGGCCUGAAUAUGUUUGUGUCCACAUGUGUUAUUGAAAUUGCAGAUUUUUCAACUUUUGGAGACGGAGCCAUUCAUGUCGCUUUGACACAUCUAGUUUAAAUAUUUGUUUAAUUAAAGAUAGAAUAUUGUAAUAGUGCAAUAAAUUUGUGAAAUUUUCCAUUUGUAAUAGAUUUUGCAAUUUGUGAUGCUAUAUUGUAAGGAACAGUAAAUGGGCUAUGUCACAGAUUUUUUUGAAAAAUUGCAAACAACUUCAAAUGUUGAAAUCUAACUGAAAAUCAAAAAGUAAUUCAUUUAUCUAAACUGUUAUGCUGCUUGAAU